UACAGAGGGUGCAAGCGUUAAUCGGAAUUACUGGGCGUAAAGCGUGCGCAGACGGUUGCGUAAGUCAGAUGUGAAAGCCCCGGGCUCAACCUGGGAAUUGCAUUUGUGACUGCACGGCUAGAGUGUGUCAGAGGGGGUAGAAUUCCACGUGUAGCAGUGAAAUGCGUAGAGAUGUGGAGGAAUACCGAUGGCGAAGGCAGCCCCCUGGGUCAAGAUUGACGCUCAUGCACGAAAGCGUGGGGAGCAAACAGG
rnacentral:rRNA from 1 species